AAUAGAUACCCUGGUAGUCCACGCCGUAAACGAUGAGUGCUAAGUGUUAGAGGGUUUCCGCCCUUUAGUGCUGCAGCUAACGCAUUAAGCACUCCGCCUGGGGAGUACGGCCGCAAGGCUGAAACUCAAAGGAAUUGACGGGGGCCCGCACAAGCGGUGGAGCAUGUGGUUUAAUUCGAAGCAACGCGAAGAACCUUACCAGGUCUUGACAUCCUCUGACCUCCCUGGAGACAGGGCCUUCCCCUUCGGGGGACAGAGUGACAGGUGGUGCAUGGUUGUCGUCAGCUCGUGUCGUGAGAUGUUGGGUUAAGUCCCGCAACGAGCGCAACCCUUGACCUUAGUUGCCAGCAUUCAGUUGGGCACUCUAAGGUGACUGCCGGUGACAAACCGGAGGAAGGUGGGGAUGACGUCAAAUCAUCAUGCCCCUUAUGACCUGGGCUACACACGUGCUACAAUGGAUGGUACAAAGGGCUGCGAGACCGCGAGGUUAAGCCAAUCCCAGAAAACCAUUCCCAGUUCGGAUUGCAGGCUGCC
rnacentral:rRNA from 1 species